CCUACGAGAGGCUGCAGUGGGGAAUAUUGGACAAUGGGCGAAAGCCUGAUCCAGCCAUGCCGCGUGUGUGAAGAAGGCCUUCGGGUUGUAAAGCACUUUCAGUGGGGAAGAAAGCCUUGGGGCUAAUACCCUCGAGGAAGGACAUCACCCACAGAAGAAGCACCGGCUAACUCCGUGCCAGCAGCCGCGGUAAUACGGAGGGUGCGAGCGUUAAUCGGAAUUACUGGGCGUAAAGCGCGCGUAGGCGGUCUGAUAAGCCGGUUGUGAAAGCCCCGGGCUCAACCUGGGAACGGCAUCCGGAACUGUCAGGCUAGAGUGCAGGAGAGGAAGGUAGAAUUCCCGGUGUAGCGGUGAAAUGCGUAGAGAUCGGGAGGAAUACCAGUGGCGAAGGCGGCCUUCUGGACUGACACUGACGCUGAGGUGCGAAAGCGUGGGUAGCAAACAGGAUUAGAUACCCUUGUAGUC
rnacentral:rRNA from 1 species